UUUUGUUUCCCUCUUGUUUACAAGUUGAAAAUGCGUUGGAAUUGGAUGGAGCAGCCAAUUUAAUGUACGUAAUUGUAAUGUUAUUUAUACAGUAGAGAGAGAGAGAGUUACGAUUUCAAGGUCCAAAGGCUAACAGUGGUAGGAGAAGGGUUGGAUGCGGUGCUAAUAUUUACAAGGCUGAGAAAGAUCGCUUCAGCAGAGAUGAUAUCAGUUGGGCCAGCGAAGGAAGAGAUCAAAAAGGACACGAAACAAACAACUCAACCCCACAAAAACAAUAAAGAAUCUCCCGUGAGAGAGCUUCUCUCCUUCCAUGAGAAUUCUUCCCCUCCUUUUGGUUGAUUAGGGUUUCAAUCUUGAGCACCAUCUUAGGCGCUGACUCUAGCUUCGGCUGGAGUCGGUUGCCACUUUUCCCUUCUUUUGUUUUCUCCUCUUUUUCCCUUCUCUGCUGCUUUUUCCCCUCCUCCUCAUCUUGAUUUGCCCUCUUCUUCUUCCCUUGUUGUUGUCCCUCUUCCUCCUUCAUCUGCGUUUCGAUCUUCAGCCACACUUGCGUUCGAGUUGGUGCUACGAGUUUUGGUGUUUCGACCGACUCGGGUGUUCCUAACACCACCACCUUCUCUUUGUUGUCUGCCAGAUCUGGCAGUGUUGCUCAUGGUCUUCCUUUUAUUGAUAACCAAUUGAUUUCCUUCAGUUUUUUGUUACCCUUACUUUAUGGCUGUGCUCGGGGAGCAUAUCGGUAUUGGAUGAUACGAUCAGAGAGGCGAUAUUUGGCGGUGGGCAUGGAUUUCUGCAGGUUGAGAUGCACUGUCAUGGUGGAGGCGAUAGCAGCAGACUUUGUUUUUCUGUUUUCAAGUUCUGGUCCUUUUUGGUUUGUGUAUUUUGUCUGUGGGCCAGUAGUUUGUAAAUUUGUGCCAUGUGUUUAAUAAAGUUUCUUGGUGAUUCUUUUGAAUCCCACUUGAC
rnacentral:lncRNA from 1 species